GAUGAACGCUGGCGGCGUGCCUAAUACAUGCAAGUCGAGCGGACGGACGAGAAGCUUGCUUCUCUGAUGUUAGCGGCGGACGGGUGAGUAACACGUGGAUAACCUACCUAUAAGAGUGGGAUAACUUCGGGAAACCGGAGCUAAUAGCGGAUAAUAUUUUGAACCGCAUGGUUCAAAAGUGAAAGACGGUCUUGCUGUCACUUAUAGAUGAAUCCGCGCUGCAUUAGCUAGUUGGUAAGGUAACGGCUUAUCAAGGCAACUAUGCAUAGCCGACCUGAGAGGGUGAUCGGCCACACUGGAACGGAGCCACGGUCCAUACUCCUACGGGAGGCAGCAGUAGGGAAUCUUCCGCAAUGGGCGGAAGCCUGACGGAACAAGGCCGCGUGAGUGAUGAAGGUCUUCGGAUCGUAAAACUCUGUUAUUAGGUAAGAACAGAUGUGUAAGUAACUGUGCACAUCUUGACGGUACCUAAUCAGAAAGCCACGGCUAACUACGUG
rnacentral:rRNA from 1 species